GAAAUGCGAUAAGUAGUGUGAAUUGCAGAAGUCAGUGAAUCAUCGAAUCUUUGAACGCACAUUGCGCCCUUUGGUAUUCCAAAGGGCAUGCCUGUUCGAGCGUCAUUUGUACCCUCAAGCUUUGCUUGGUGUUGGGCGUCUUGUCUCUAGCUUUGCUGGAGACUCGCCUUAAAGUAAUUGGCAGCCGGCCUACUGGUUUCGGAGCGCAGCACAAGUCGCACUCUCUAUCAGCAAAGGUCUAGCAUCCAUUAAGCCUUUUUUCAACUUUUGACCUCGGAUCAGGUAGGGAUACCCGCUGAACUUAAGC
rnacentral:misc_RNA from 1 species